rnacentral:rRNA from 1 species
UACGUAGGGUGCAAGCGUUGUUCGGAUUUACUGGGCGUAAAGGGCGCGUAGGCGGCCACCGCAAGUCGGUUGUGAAAUCUCUGGGCUUAACCCAGAAAGGUCAACUGAUACUGUGCGACUAGAGUGCAGAAGGGGCAACUGGAAUUCUCGGUGUAGCGGUGAAAUGCGUAGAUAUCAGGAGGAACACCGAUGGCGAAGGCAGGUCUCUGGGCCACUACUGACGCUGAGAAGCGAAAGCAUGGGGAGCGAACAGG